GAACCAACCAGUGACCAGCAGCUCCUCUCUCACAGCUCUGCUGUAGCUGAGACCCAGGAUCAGGAAGGAAGCCAGCAUGGAGACUCAGGAUCAGCUAGUAAUGCGGAGCCAGAGAGGAGACACCACAAAGACACAAGUCAGAGUAACAGUGUAGACAACUCUCCUUUGUCAGAGACUCACUGGGACACUCACACAGGUAAAAAGACUGUAAAAUGUGGCAUCUGUGGAAAAGCUUUUAGGUUUAAGUGUUUAUUGAAAAAACAUCUGAGAAUUCACACAGGCGAGAGGCCAUAUUCUUGUGAAAGAUGUGGGAAGAGUUUCAAACGUCGAGAUCACUUGUCUAGUCAUGUGAGAACCCACACAAUUGAGAAGAGCCCUCACAGUAACGGCGUAGACACGUCCCCCCUGUCAGAGACUCACUGUGACACACUCACAGGUAAAAAGCCUUUCAAAUGUGACACCUGUGGAAAAGCUUUUAGGUGGAAGUCUCAAUUGAAUAGACACCUGACAGUCCACUCAGAGGACCGUCCACAUUCUUGUAACACUUGUGGGAAAAAAUUUAAGCAGACAUCAGAAUUAAAUGCUCAUUUAAGACUGCACACAGGUGAGAAACCAUAUUCUUGUGAAACAUGUGGUAUGGGUUUCAAACGUAGUCACCAUUUGUCUCGUCACAUGAGACACCACACAGGUGAGAAGCCAUAUUUAUGCAACACCUGUGGGAAAAGAUUCACUGAGAGAGGCACUUUGAAUGAUCAUUUAAGAAUCCACACAGGUGAGAAGCCAUUUGUCUGUAACACCUGUGGGAAAAGAUACAGUGAGAAGUCAUCUUUCAGAAAGCACAUGAGACAGCACAUGGGUGAGAAUCCACAUGUCUGAACAUCUGUGGGAACAGACUCAGAGUACCAUCUUUGAAGAGUUGUGUGAGUUUAUGCUAAAGAACUGACUGUUCCUCGCUGGACAAACUGGCAGAUACAGAGACAUCUUACAUGAAAUGUUGUGAAGAUGUCAUGUAAUCCUAUGACUUUCUGGAGUACCAGCAAACCCUGUUUUAGCAAGGUUAAUAAAGUUUUCUGUGAAAACAAAAGUGCUGCUUUUAAAAAAUGGAGACCAGGUCCUGUAUAACAUUUCCAAAAGCAGUGCAACAAGCAGAAAGUGUAUAGAUACACAGAAGAGAAGUGAAACUAGAGAACAACUAAAGAAGACAAAUAUCUGUAUUUGUGUUUAUCAUGCUGUACUGAGGACUGUCAUACAUUGUGCCAAAAUAGUUAAGAAGGUUUUUAUUAUUUAAGUUUAGUAUAUCAGUGCCCAGUGUUUAUUUUAUGCCUCCGCACCAGCGACAGUAGAUGUCAUUGUGAGUCUGUUUUUCUAACAGGAGCAAAUGGUGUAUUAGUUUGGGGCUGUUUUCAGCUGUGGCUUUUGGCUCCCUAUUUUAUUUGUGGGAGUGUCUUAAAAUAGAUUCCAGCACCCAUGUUUGCUGAUGUGUUUUUUGGACACCAAAGGUCUAUAAAACUUGAGAAGAAUAAUCUACUAUAUAUGUGUAUAUAUAUCAUGUUUUGGCUACAAGGUAAUAGUUGUACUUGAUGAUACAACUAAAGUAAGGAUGCUUUUAAAAAGGGGUUAAGUGCACUUGUGAUGACUAUAAAAAUCCAUCAUCCAUGGAGUUCUAAAUCUACAAUUCACCAUGGCAAUGGGUAAAUAAAGAGCAGAGCUGCUGUUUUAAUCCUGUGCAGGUUAUUAGUGUGUGAUAAUGCACAUUUAUCUUUAAAAUACAGAGCAGCGGCAGUGAAAGAGCCUGAAUUGGCAAAGAGAGUGAAAACACUGUUACAUUUUAUUCGGCCUGGUCCUCUCAUUCAUUUGUUUAGAAGACUUUGAUUUCUUUGACCUAGUGUUAACCUCUGUUUUAGUUCAUCCAAACAGAGAAAAUGAACAUGUGAAGGGGGAAAAGAAGGAAGUAUGGUGGGAUAAGAAGCCAGCAAGUAAUGCCACCAAUAUGAAUAGUCACACGAUCCCGAUAUUUAUCUUUGUCACUGUCAUGUGUGACACAAAACAGGUUGAAGGAAUUUGUUGACAGCAUGUGAACUCAAUGAAAAUAAGAUGGCUCCAAGUUGACCAGCUGAUAGAAGGAUGUCUAUUUACACAUCUUGGCCUUAAUGGACAGGGGCCGUUGCACAUGAGUACUGUAAUGUUUCAUUCUUAACUAAAAUCUGAGUAAUUUGUAUUUUUACUGCAAUUUUGAAGGCAGGGGAAAUGUUAUAUGCCAGUGUUAUGUAAUGUUUUUACAAAAUGACUGGAAAUUAGAUCCGGAGGACAUCAAUUAAAUGCGUUAGUCCAAAGGAAAAAUUUCCCUGCUUAUUAAGUUCUUAGAGCGCAGGGUUACCCAAGAUAUAAGGUGAACAGACUGGGGUUAUUUUGGUGUGGUAGUAGAUAGGGGCCGGUCUGAUCCACACUCCAGUCUGGAAGGUGGCGGUAAUGCACCUAAAGCUGGUUGCCAACCGCCAUUAAAACCAAAAAACAGAAGAAUAAACGCUUUCCUGUAAUACCAAGCGACACAGACCUACAAUCACAGCUGAAGACGGAACUUAAAUCUGACUCCCUUUCGCCGCCGGAGCUUCAGAGUGCGACAUCUGGCGGAAGUAAACUUGCCAGUAAUGUUAGUUUAAUUGAUGUGUGGCAGAUAAACAUUUCUCUUCUAUCAAAUCAACAAUGUCUUUAGUUCAGUAUCUGAGAGAGUUCGUCACCGAGCGACUAACUGCUGCUGCUGAAGAAAUAUUCGGAGUCUUUGAGAAAACUGUCGUCGAGUACGAGGAAGAGAUCGAUCGUCAGCGCAGACUGUUGGAUAUCGUUUGGAAACCAGAAGUAAAGCUACACAGAAUAGAGCUGCCACAGCAACAUGUCUGUCAGGAGGAGGAGGUUC